AUUGAACGCUGGCGGCAUGCCUUACACAUGCAAGUCGAACGGUAACAGGUCUUCGGAUGCUGACGAGUGGCGAACGGGUGAGUAAUACAUCGGAACGUGCCCGAUCGUGGGGGAUAACGCAGCGAAAGCUGUGCUAAUACCGCAUACGAUCUACGGAUGAAAGCGGGGGAUCGCAAGACCUCGCGCGGACGGAGCGGCCGAUGGCAGAUUAGGUAGUUGGUGGGAUAAAAGCUUACCAAGCCGACGAUCUGUAGCUGGUCUGAGAGGACGACCAGCCACACAGGGACUGAGACACGGCCCAGACUCCUACGGGAGGCAGCAGUGGGGAAUUUUGGACAAUGGGGGAAACCCUGAUCCAGCCAUGCCGCGUGCAGGAUGAAGGCCUUCGGGUUGUAAACUGCUUUUGUACGGAACGAAACGGUCUGCCCUAAUACGGCGGGCUAAUGACGGUACCGUAAGAAUAAGCACCGGCUAACUACGUG
rnacentral:rRNA from 1 species